GUUGCGGCGGCUUGCAGAGGAAUAGCAGCGGGGCGGCGGCUUCUGGUAGGCUGACAGCGGCAGCAGAGGCCCAGCACACCAUCCCAAUCUCUAGGUACAAACAUCAAUCCCUUCCCCUUGUAUAUUCUGCUGCUGGUCAUGAAUAUGCCCAAACGAGAGUGAUAGAGAGAGAUGGAGUGGUUCUUGUGAUGAUUCAUGGUUGUAUUUGUUUCACUUCUGUUACUUUAUGUUGGUAAAAUCAGUGGUCUGUUUUCCUAAUUUGUACAAAAAUACAUGUUGUCCAGUAUUUUUUUGCAAUAUAUAUGUUGAUGUAUGCAUCAUUCGUAGCUAUAUUUUUGAUAUUAUGCAUCACUUGUAGAUGGUCAAGAAGAUGAACAAAAGAAAAAAGAUGGUUAGGGGAGCUGCUGUUUUUGUUGCACUAGCUGCAAUGGCAGUCAUUGUUCGGGCUAUAAUAAGGAAAAGAAGACCACGCAUUACCUAUGGGCCAAUGCAUGAAAAAGAUUGAAUCAGAUUUGAUUAUCUAAACCAAAAAAUAUGGCAAAGUGAUGUGUUGUGCAAAAACAUGUUAAGGUUUGAAAGAGCUGCGUUUUUUAAUUUGUGUCGCAUAAUGAGGGAUCGCAAGUUGCUAGAAGACAGUCCACAUCUUAGUGUGGAGCAACAAUUGGCGAUGUUUUUGCAUACAAUUGGGCAUAACCUUCGAAAUAGGGUUGUGUCAGCCAAUUUUUGUAGAUCAUACGGCACAACUAGCAUCUAUUUUAGAAAGGUUCUUCAUGCCAUAGGCGAUCUUCGUAACGAUUAUAUACGGCCACCAUCAUUGGAGACCCCCACAAAAAUUGCAGGAAAUCAUCGGUUUUGACCCAUAUUUUAAGGAUUGUAUUGGAGCUAUCGAUGUACACAUGUGCGAGCAGGUGUUACCAAAGAUGUGGAGCAUUCUUUUCGUGGUAGGAAGGCCUUUGCAACCCAAAAUGUGAUGGCAGCGGUAGAUUUUGAUCUCCGCUUCACGUAUGUAUUGGCUGGCUGGGAAGGGUCAGCACACGAUGCCCGUUUUAGCUGAUGCGUUAACGCGUGAGAGAGGCUUACAAGUACCACCAGGUAAGAAGUUGGCUUAGAUAGAAAUUGUCCAUAUGUUCAGCGAGGGAUGAAGACACUUGCACAAUUAGGCUCAGCGAGGAGCACUAUGCAGGGAAUUGUAUGACCCACAAAGCUGAUGCCCCCUUCUUGAAUACACCAAUUGAACACUAUCAUGACAUGGCUUCCAUUUAUGGGACAAUGGGGGCCAAGGCGCAGAAUGCUAGGUUUGGCAACGAUCUUCUUUCUAUUGAUCUCGAAGACGAGGAGAAUGGUGAGGUGAACACGUCACCAAAUGUUGGUGAGUCUUGUGACCCCAAAGCACCACCCAAAAAAGAAGGCUAAGAUAAAGCACAUUGUUGAGGAUCCACUAGUUAUCACUCUCAAAGAUGGGUUCAAACUUGUGGCUGAAGCGCUUGUGAAGUCUAGUGGAGAUGAUGAUGACAUACCCGAUGACCUUUGGGACGUAAUAUCCACAUUGCCAGAUUUUGAAGAAGAGCAUCUAGCCCACUACUAUGCUCAUCUUUUGGACAACCCCAAGACUGCAAGAGCCUUCAUGAAACUUACCAAAAUCAACAAGUCUGUUUGGGUGAGUAGGUAUGCCAAGAAGAACUUCUAAAUUCGAUAUGGUUGUAUGGUUGCCAAGUAUGUGAACUUGACAUGUAUGGCUAUAGUGCACUUUGAUUGCUUUUGGAGAUUUGGUAUGUGAACUUGACAUGUGUGGUUGUCAAGUAUGUGAACUUGAGAUGUAUGGCUCUAUUGCACUCUG